AUUAAAGUGGCAGAGCCCGGACUUGCAAAAGACCUAAACUCUUUCAACAGGGGUUCAAAUCCCCUCUUUAACU
rnacentral:tRNA from 1 species